GCUGGGGUGAACUUAUAAUGGUUGAGUGGAGCGCUCGGAAAUAGUUGGUCUUCAGUCUCGUCAGGGCCUCUGCUCACGAACGAAAGAGCUCAUUCAGAGCACAUCAAUAACCAGAACAUAGUGCAUAGUGUUGCAAUUCAACACAGGACUCCUAGACAAGCGACUCAAAGUUUCUGGGCGCUGGAGCUUGCCCGCUAGCUGCUGAAAUCCGCGGACACCACGUUCACACCUAAUUCUCACGAACCCGCAGAAAGGGAGUAUUGAAUUGAGAGUCCAAGCAACCUCAAGCCUCUGAAUACCCAUGGGAGAAGCAACGGGAAUUAAAUGAAGGCACGAGAGUGGGGGGUCAUCUGCGUUUACGUACAGUUAAAAUCUAAAUCAGGAGCUUCUUCGAUGACAUUCAACUGACUUACUCUUCCGAAGGAACGGCUAAAACCGGACUGGAGCGGGCGUGCUAGCUGAGGAGGGAGCUUGUUUCUGUCCUAACUGGAAAAGAUGACUCUGAAGAGGUCUCUGACUCUUCAGGUAAAAUCCUGCGGUGAACUCAUAAUGGAUGCGUGGAGCGCUGAGAAGCAGUUGGUCUUCACAGUCUCGUGCAGGUCUCUCCUCAUGAGUGAAAGAGCUCUUUCAGAACACAACAAGAACCAGAAUAUUGCACUUAGUGUUGCAAUUCAAUACAGGACUCCUAGACAAGCGACUCAAAGUUCCUGGGCGCUGGAGCUUGCCCACUAGCCACUGAUAUCCGCGGACAUCACGUUCACACCUAAUUCUCACGAACCCGCAGAAAAGGAGUAUUGAAUUGAGAGUCCAAGCAACCUCAAGUCUGUAAAUGCCAAUGGGAGAAGCAACGGGAAAUAAGGGAACGCAUGAGAGUGGGGAGUCAUCUGCAUUUAAGCACAAUUAAUAUCUAAAUCAGGAGCCUCUUCGAUGGCGUUCAACUGACUUGCUCUUCCAAAAGAACGGCUAAAACUGGACUGGCGCGGGCUUGCGAGCAGAGCUUGGAAGGACCCUGUAGGAGCUGCCUAGCAGUUCGGAUCACAGAACACUGUUCCCAA
rnacentral:lncRNA from 1 species